rnacentral:rRNA from 1 species
AAGUCGUAACAAGGUUUCCGUAGAUGAACCUGCGGAAGGAUCAUUAUUGAAUAAACUUGGUUGGGUUGUUGCUGGCUCCUCGGAGCAUGUGCACACCUAGCGCCAUUUUUACCACCUGUGCACCUUUUGUAGACCUGGAUACCUCUCGAGGAAACUCGGUUUGAGGACUGCUGUGCGAAAGCCGGCUUUCCUUACAUUUCCGGUCUACGUCUUUACAUACCCCAUAAGAAUGUAACAGAAUGUGAUAUUUGGCCUCUGUGCCUUUAAUCAAAUACAACUUUCAGCAACGGAUCUCUUGGCUCUCGCAUCGAUGAAGAACGCAGCGAAAUGUGAUAAGUAAUGUGAAUUGCAGAAUUCAGUGAAUCAUCGAGUCUUUGAACGCACCUUGCGCUCCCUGGUAUUCCGGGGAGCAUGCCUGUUUGAGUGUCAUUUAAUUCUCAACCUUUUCAGCUUUUACUAGCUGGCUAGGCUUGGAUGUGGGGGUUGCGGGCUUCUCAGAAGUCGGCUCUCCUUAAAUGCAUUAGCGAAACCUUUUGUUGACCAUCUCUGGUGUGAUAAUUAUCUAUGCCGUUGAGAAUCAGCUUUAUUAUGAGGUUCUGCUUCUAAUCGUCCUCCAGGGGACAACUCUUGACAUUUUGACCUCAAAUCAGACAAGACUACCCGCUGAACUUAA